UCCUGUGUGCUUACAACAGAAAUUGGAAUGGGAGGUGUUGGAUGUUGUUCUGAGAAACUUUCCGGAGGCACUGCAAGAUAAAACCUUGAUACAUUCUCGAAAGCACUACUUACGUUCAAUAUGUACAGUGUUAUCUAAAAUGGUUUGAAAUUAUGAUUUUCUCCCUGGAUUAUUUCGCGUUCCUCAUGAUAUGCGCCGACCUCAUUUGUACGCUAG